CACUGGUCCCCUCAAAAGCCCUGCUGAUUUUUUUCUAGAGAUGAGAAAUCUGGGUUUGGAGAACAGUGUGUCCUGGCCACACGGGCCAGUGAACCCGCCCACGAUACCCCUGCCUGUUCGUGGACGGGCUGGCCUCCCUGACGACGAACCCUGCCUCCAGGGGCACAGUUCAACCUGAGCCCCUGGGUUGCAGCCCUCCAUGCUACCCCGCCCCCGCCGCCCACUUUAAGGGGGGCAUAACCAGUGACCCACAAAAGGAUGGCAGUGCCUGGUCUUGUGCCUUGCGCUUGCCAGAAUCUUCUUCCUGACAGCUCUGAGCCCUACAGGGACCAGCGUCCUUACAGCAGGCAGGGCGUUGCUGAGAUCUACAGGCCUCCGGAGGCCCUCCCUGCCUCUCACCUCACGCCGGAUGGAGGUUACUACUUGGCCAAACGAAGCAUUGACAGCUCAUAG
rnacentral:lncRNA from 1 species